GACGAACGCUGGCGGCGUGCCUAAUACAUGCCAGUAGAACGCUGAAGAGAGGAGCUUGCUCUUCUUGGAUGAGUUGCGAACGGGUGAGUAACGCGUAGGUAACCUGCCUUGUAGCGGGGGAUAACUAUUGGAAACGAUAGCUAAUACCGCAUAACAAUGGAUGACACAUGUCAUUUAUUUGAAAGGGGCAAUUGCUCCACUACAAGAUGGACCUGCGUUGUAUUAGCUAGUAGGUGAGGUAAUGGCUCACCUAGGCGACGAUACAUAGCCGACCUGAGAGGGUGAUCGGCCACACUGGGACUGAGACACGGCCCAGACUCCUACGGGAGGCAGCAGUAGGGAAUCUUCGGCAAUGGGGGCAACCCUGACCGAGCAACGCCGCGUGAGUGAAGAAGGUUUUCGGAUCGUAAAGCUCUGUUGUAAGUCAAGAACGGGGGUGAGAGUGGAAAGUUCACACUGUGACGGUAGCUUACCAGAAAGGGACGGCUAACUACGUG
rnacentral:rRNA from 1 species